UCUCACACAAUUAUAAGAGUCCCUUUCCCACAUCAGGUUAUAACCCGAGAAGUCAGUCAUCAAGGUUAUGUUGCAAGAAAUCAAGGUUAUGUUGCAAGAAUCCUUGAUGUCCCCUACUUUUCGAUCAAACCCAUACAUAGCGUAUGAGUACACCUUCAUUUGGGAAAUAUUACGGGGCGUAUCGGAAGGGUAUGCUCCCUCAAUACAUGGUUCAGUAUUGAUAUACAAAGG
rnacentral:lncRNA from 1 species